GAACAGAAAGGUAACCAGAGGCAAUUCUACGGCAAUUGAAAGUGGCCUCUAUAUCUCGCCCGUAGGGAGAAAUGUUGCCGCAUGGAACACAAUAGAGCCCGCCAGGGGUAUUGGCUACAGCAUCGGAGAUGGUGUAGGUACUCUACCUAUGAAAGGAGCAAAGUGGCUGGGAACAGACAGGUGCAAUCGCCACGGCAAUUGAAGCCAGCCUGUGUAUCUCGCCCGGAAGGGAGAAAUAGUGCCGCAUGGAACACCAUAGAGCCAGCCAGGAGUAAUGGCUUCAGCAUCUGGAGUAGGUGUAGGUACUCUACCUAUGAAAAGGAGCAAGG